UACGGAGGAUGCGAGCGUUAUCCGGAUUUAUUGGGUUUAAAGGGUGCGUAGGCGGAUCGUUAAGUCAGUGGUCAAAUUGAGGGGCUCAACCCCUUCCCGCCAUUGAAACUGGCGAUCUUGAGUGGAAGAGAAGUAUGCGGAAUGCGUGGUGUAGCGGUGAGAUGCAUAGAUAUCACGCAGAACCCCGAUUGCGAAGGCAGCAUGCCGGCUUCCUACUGACGCUGAAGCACGAAAGCGAGGGGAUCGAACAGG
rnacentral:rRNA from 1 species